CCUACGGGAGGCAGCAGUGAGGAAUAUUGGUCAAUGGGCGGAAGCCUGAACCAGCCAAGUCGCGUGAGGGAUUAAGGCCCUGCGGGUCGUAAACCUCUUUUGCCGGGGAGCAGUGGUCCGGACGCGUCCGGACCGGGAGAGUACCCGGAGAAAAAGCAUCGGCUAACUCCGUGCCAGCAGCCGCGGUAAUACGGAGGAUGCGAGCGUUAUCCGGAUUUAUUGGGUGUAAAGAGUUCGUAGGUGGCACGUUAAGUCUGGUGUUAAAUGCAGAGGCUCAACCUCUGUUCGGCACUGGAUACUGGCGAGCUUGAAUGCGGUAGAGGUAAAGGGAAUUCCUGGUGUAGCGGUGAAAUGCGUAGAUAUCAGGAGGAACAUCGGUGGCGUAAGCGCUUUACUGGGCCGUAAUUGACACUGAGGAACGAAAGCCAGGGUAGCAAAUGGGAUUAGAUACCCGAGUAGUC
rnacentral:rRNA from 1 species